UUACGGUCACAUCCCGUUGAAGCACCGAUACCCGUACGAUCACCGAAAUUAGGUAACGUCGAGCCUGGUCAUUACUUAGAUGGGUGACCGCUUUGGAUGACCAGGUGCGGUAAG